ensembl:snRNA Gm22004 U6 spliceosomal RNA
GUGCUCGCUUUGGCAGCACAUAUACUAAAAUUGGAAGGGUACAGAGAAGAUUAGCAUGGCCCCUGUUCAAGGAUGACACACAUGUUCAUAAAGAGUUCCAUACUUAA